GACAGAGGGUGCGAACGUUGUUCGGAAUUACUGGGCGUAAAGCGCACGUAGGCGGAUUGUUAAGUCAGGGGUGAAAUCCUGGAGCUCAACUCCAGAACUGCCUUUGAUACUGAGAAGCUUGAGUCCGGGAGAGGUGAGUGGAACUGCGAGUGUAGAGGUGAAAUUCGUAGAUAUUCGCAAGAACACCAGUGGCGAAGGCGGCUCACUGGCCCGGUACUGACGCUGAGGUGCGAAAGCGUGGGGAGCAAACAGG
rnacentral:rRNA from 1 species